rnacentral:rRNA from 1 species
UACGGAGGGUGCAAGCGUUAUCCGGAUUCACUGGGUUUAAAGGGUGCGUAGGCGGGUAGGUAAGUCCGUGGUGAAAUCUCUGAGCUUAACUCAGAAACUGCCGUGGAUACUAUUUGCCUUGAAUAUUGUAGAGGUGAGCGGAAUAUGUCAUGUAGCGGCGAAAUGCUUAGAUAUGACAUAGAACACCAAUUGCGAAGGCAGCUCACUACACAAUGAUUGACGCUGAGGCACGAAAGCGUGGGGAUCAAACAGG